GCGCUUGUGGCUCAAUGGAUAGAGCAUCAGACUUCGGAUCUGAGGGUUAGAGGUUCGAGUCCUCUCAGGCGUACCA
rnacentral:tRNA from 5 species